rnacentral:rRNA from 1 species
GACGAACGCUGGCGGCGUGCUUAACACAUGCAAGUCGAACGAUGAAGCUGGAGCUUGCUCCGGUGGAUUAGUGGCGAUCGGGUGAGUAACACGUGAGCAAUCUGCCCUUCACUCUGGGAUAACUGCGGGAAACUGUAGCUAAUACCGGAUACGAGACCUUGGGGCAUCCCAGGGUCUGGAAAGAAUUUCGGUGAAGGAUGAGCUCGCGGCCUAUCAGCUAGUUGGUGAGGUAAUGGCUCACCAAGGCGACGACGGGUAGCCGGCCUGAGAGGGUGACCGGCCACACUGGGACUGAGACACGGCCCAGACUCCUACGGGAGGCAGCAGUGGGGAAUAUUGCACAAUGGGCGAAAGCCUGAUGCAGCAACGCCGCGUGAGGGAUGAAGGCCUUCGGGUUGUAAACCUCUUUUAGUAGGGAAGGAGCGCAAGUGACGGUACCUACAGAAAAAGCACCGGCUAACUACGUGCCAGCCGCCGCGGUAA